CCCUAAAGGAGGCCGGGCGGAAAUGACCUCUUACAAAGGCAUUGGAAAACUAGGAACUCCAAAUAAGAGAUCAAAAGCAAACCAAAGGACAAUUAUCAAAAAAUCCUGUUUCCCAAGGAAAUAUUUCCAGGAUCUUGAUGACUGAUAAGGAAAGGACAAAAGUGAAGUGGGGAAGGCCAGCUUCUUCCUAUCCCGAUCCAAUCUAAGAAUUACAAAGGUCCCCAAAUCCUUAUUGUUUUCUUGCAUAUGUGCUCUUGUUUGAGGCCUGCCAUUCUGCUGGGAGGGAGGGAGAGAAGUUUACUUUCACUUGGGAUAACUUUUGCUUUCUGCUUUUCCUCUUCCACCCCUAUCCACUUGAGAAAAGACUGUGUCUCCCUUAUCAGGGAGGCAGCUAUGGAGAAACGAAACUGGAGAAGAUCUUGAGAUGUGCGCCAACUGUGCCAGUUACCCAAAAAUCGUACCACCUGUGGAUUGGCUGGAUUUCAAAUGGACACUAUGACUUUGGUGGGAGGAGGAAGAUUGCUAGUUUAACUAUACCAGGGGUAGGCAA